UACGAAGGGUGCAAACGUUGCUCGGAAUCAUUGGGCGUAAAGCGCACGUAGGCGGCCUAUCAAGUCGCAUGUGAAAGCCCACGGCUCAACCGUGGAAGUGCAUGCGAAACUGACAGGCUUGAGUACCAAAGAAGGAUCGCGGAAUUCCCGGUGUAGAGGUGAAAUUCGUAGAUAUCGGGAGGAACACCAGUGGCGAAGGCGGCGAUCUGGGUGGUUACUGACGCUGAGGUGCGAAAGCGUGGGGAGCAACAGGAUUAGAA
rnacentral:rRNA from 1 species